AUUGAACGCUGGCGGCAGGCUUAACACAUGCAAGUCGAGCGGGGGAAGGUAGCUUGCUACCGGACCUAGCGGCGGACGGGUGAGUAAUGCUUAGGAAUCUGCCUAUUAGUGGGGGACGACAUCUCGAAAGGGAUGCUAAUACCGCAUACGUCCUACGGGAGAAAGCAGGGGAUCUUCGGACCUUGCGCUAAUAGAUGAGCCUUCGGAUUAGCUAGUUGGUGGGGUAAAGGCCUACCAAGGCGACGAUCUGUAGCGGGUCUGAGAGGAUGAUCCGCCACACUGGGACUGAGACACGGCCCAGACUCCUACGGGAGGCAGCAGUGGGGAAUAUUGGACAAUGGGGGGAACCCUGAUCCAGCCAUGCCGCGUGUGUGAAGAAGGCCUUAUGGUUGUAAAGCACUUUAAGCGAGGAGGAGGCUACUUUAGUUAAUUCCUAGAGAUAGUGGACGUUACUCGCAGAAUAAGCACCGGCCAACUCUGUGCCAGCAGCCGCCGUAA
rnacentral:rRNA from 1 species